rnacentral:rRNA from 1 species
CGAACGCUGGCGGCGCGCCUAACACAUGCAAGUCGAACGAGCGAGAGAGAGCUUGCUUUCUCGAGCGAGUGGCGAACGGGUGAGUAACGCGUGAGGAACCUGCCUCAAAGAGGGGGACAACAGUUGGAAACGACUGCUAAUACCGCAUAAGCCCACGGCUCGGCAUCGAGCAGGGGGAAAAGGAGCAAUCCGCUUUGAGAUGGCCUCGCGUCCGAUUAGCUAGUUGGUGAGGUAACGGCCCACCAAGGCGACGAUCGGUAGCCGGACUGAGAGGUUGAACGGCCACAUUGGGACUGAGACACGGCCCAGACUCCUACGGGAAGCAGCAGUGGGGAAUAUUGCACAAUGGGGGAAACCCUGAUGCAGCGACGCCGCGUGGAGGAAGAAGGUCUUCGGAUUGUAAACUCCUGUUGUUGGGGAAGAUAAUGACGGUACCCAACAAGGAAGUGACGGCUAACUACGUG